GUGGGGCAACUUCUGCAGACCACAGAGUGAAUCACAUCAAGGGCUACUUGAUGUGGGAGCUUCUUGAGAGAGAGAACUGGUCUAUCUCAUUUUAACUAUGGUGCCUGGCAAACAGUCAAUGAUUAUCUCUAACUUCACAUUCCAGCCUCCAUUACCCUUUUGUCACCUUGAUACUCUCACACUUGGUUUAUUUCAGGAUCCUCUUGACCUGUUUUCACACGCUUCUUCCUGUACACAGGUGUGAAACUCAUCUUGCUAAAGAUCUGGUAUCAUCUGCCCCGCCCAGCUCAAACAGCACCAAUGGUGUUUAUCUCAGGUACAUGACCAUUAGGUGGCAGUAAUGCAUCACUCUAAGGAAAUAAAUCAAUGGUUCAGCUUAACACUUGAGAUAGAGGUAAACAUGGUCCCCAGCUUUUAUUUUAUUAUAAAGACAUAACUUUUAAAAGCCCCCCAAAAGGAUAAGCUUAAAGACUUUGGAUUUGUUACAUGUACUCCUUAAUAAAGCCAUCAUGGAAUUCAUUCCAGUUGCCCAGGAGUUCCUUUCCCAGUCAUUUCUCCAUGUUGUAGCAGACUAGAUAAUUGGAGUCUACUGAACUUGUUUAAAUUAAUUACAGGGAAGACUUUCCUAUCUGGAGCUCGUUCCUUUGAUUACCACCAGAAAGAGAGGAGAUGGAGAAAUGAGCAGAAAAUUGCCCCAGAGUUUAAUGGUACCAAAUCCCUGUGUGGUUUUUCUUCCAUUGUUCAGCAGAAUGGACUUCUGUACCCUGCUAAUUUUCAUUUUCUGUCCUUUCU
rnacentral:lncRNA from 1 species